GGCUACACACGUGCUACAAUGGGUAGAACAGAGAGUUGCAAAGCUGUGAAGUGGAGCUAAUCUCAGAAAACUAUUCUUAGUUCGGAUUGUACUCUGCCACUCGAGUACAUGAAGUUGGAAUCGCUAGUAAUCGCGAAUCAGCAAUGUCGCGGUGAAUACGUUCUCGGGUCUUGUACACACCGCCCGUCACACCACGAGAGUUGGUUGCACCUGAAGUAGCAGGCCUAACCGUAAGGAGGGAUGCUCCGAGGGUGUGAUUAGCGAUUGGGGUGAAGUCGUAACAAGGUAUCCGUACGGGAACGU
rnacentral:rRNA from 1 species